CCACCACACCCGGCUUAAAAAACCAUUUCUUUUAAGUAAGAAAGAAAGGCUGGUGAGAUGGCUCAGCACAUAAAAGUGCUAGCCACCAAACCUGACAACCAGAGUUCUAUACCGGAGACCCAUAUAUGGGUGAUAGAAAGCCAGACGAAGGCUGUUCUCGACGCAUAUGGCAUGCACACAUAUGCACACAUACGCACACACUCAAAAAAUGUAAUAAAAAAAAGGCAUCUCAGAUGUUAGGGAGGAUGCAGGUUUCUGGUGCUGGGGGAGGGGAAAAUUGAAAAGAACAGGUGGUCUCAGAAGCUCCUUGAAGAGAGCCCUGUCUGGCUUCAGCCAGGCCUCAGCUCAGAAGAGCCUGAGGCAGGCUUGCCCUCCCAGCUCCCAAAGCCUGCGCUACAGUUUCUGAGGGAUCUAGGUGUGGCUGCCAUUGACAGCAGUGCAGAGCACAGGAAUCCUGCCUUUAAAGACGUCGGGGGUGAUGAAGAGACAUAGUGAGAUCGGCAGCACUUGCAGGAGGUGAGGAGUGCUGCACCUGACAUUGUGCCAGGCUCAGACCAAAGCCUUCCUCAAGUGCUGGCAGCCAGAAACCAGAGGUGCUCCCGAGCCUGCUGCGCUCCGGCAGGUCUCCUCUGCACCCUCGAGAGCAUUUCUCACGAGGCUCUAUGUGUGGAGGAGGGUGCUCGGCUGCCUCGGGUCCAACAGCCUGGCUCUCUCUCUCUCCCUGCCUGCUCCUGGGUGGUGGCACUCCUGCGUCUGGAACUGCACUUCCCACUCUCACCAGCACAGAGGUGGGGGUGGGGCAGGGAGCGCAGCCUCACAGCUGUUUGCUCCCUGGCAGCCUGGCUAAGUAGUUCACGGCUCUGGCUCUGAGUCAGAACCCGCCCAUUUCAACCCCCCUGCUGCCAAUACUGUCUUUGUGGCCCUGGGCGACUUAACUUUCUUCUGCUUCAUCUGUACAGCGGGGAUAACGAUAGGCCUUCAUGCUGGUCCUGAGCUUUUACCGUGAUGCUUCCCCCGUUGCCCUCUGUUUGGAUGUCCAUUCCCACCUUUGGCCUGGGUUCCACUAAGUUAAAGGUAAAAUUGUAUGAGUCUGUGUUCUUGGUGCCCAGCACAGGGCCUGGCAUAUUUGAUAAUCAGAAUUUGAAUUUACUGUUGGAAGGAAUUCGUGAGACAGUAUAGAAGAUCCAGGAUACAGGGGCUGGAGAAAAGGCUCGGCAAUGAAGAAGAGCAUUGGCUACUUUUGCAGAGGACCUAGGUUUGAUUCCAAACUCCCAUGUAGUGAUUCACAACUCCAGGGUAUCUGACACACUUUUCUGUUCAGCAUGGGCAUUAGGCGCCCACAGAAUACACAUACAUGCAGGCAAAGUAUUUGUAUACAUAAAAC
rnacentral:lncRNA from 1 species